CCCUGUCAGAACUGUUGUUGUAAGAGAAGACAAAGGCCAUCACAUUGGGUCAUAAGUGGAAAUGCACAGACAACCGAAUUGCUUAGCCUGGAGAAGAGAAGAUUUUGCUGGGAAAGAAAGCAAAAGAUGGAAGCCUAAGGGCCCUGCAAGAAGGUGCAUAAAGAAAAAGUGCUUGACGAGGUGCCGGUGUUUAUCUUCAAAUCUGAGGAUAAUGUCUUACCAGCAGCAGCAACAAUGCAAAGUCCCCUGCCAGCAGCCUCCCCAGGUCCCUGAGCCGUGCCUCCCACCCCCCACCCAGCAGAAGUGCCCCCCAGUUAAGUGCCCCCGCUGCCAGCAGGACUAUCUGCCGAAGCAGAAGUAACACCUCUGAAGCCACCUUUCCGGCCUGAUCAUGAGGUUGCUGCGUCCCCUGGCCACCCACAAGCCCUCACUCCACACACGCCCAGAAGAUGCUGCCUUCAGACUCCAGAAGGUAAGGACCUCCAUUCAUUCCCUGUCCUGCCUUGCCCAAACUGCUGGGAAGGAAGGAAGUCGGCUCAGUGUCACAGGGAAGUCAGACACAGUGAGACGAGAAACCAAAAUCAAGAAAGCAGAGCCAUCACCAACCCCGGAAAGAUGUCCUGCGGCAGCCCCCCUCCGUCCCUCCGCCUCCCCGUGUCAGCUGGAACGCCACCAAAGGGAAGGAGCUCUCCUGAAGCCCCCGCCCUCAAACAGCUGAGCAUUAAGUUGCCCCCUGCCCCUCUGCAUUCCCUUCCUUUCAACGCCCGCAGAGACCACCCCGCAGCCGGGGGGCUGUUAUCUCUUCAAUGCAAAAGGUAUCCCUACGGACCACCGGGCUGACUGCACGUCAUCAAAGUCUCCCUCCGGCAACUCCAACAGGAAACAGCGAGGACGGGAUGAGGGGCCAUGUCUCAGGCACCCUUCCUGGAUACCAGACCUGUUCUUCCUUCCCUGUUCUGACCCUGCUGCAGUGAGAAGUCCCGACUGUUAGAGGCCGUCUCCACGGCCACUACUGCCCCCUGCUGGCCAAGCCGUGAUGUUCAAAGGACGCAACAGGCCUGCCUUUGCUCUCUGUACCCCCGGGUUCCACUCUUUGGAAGAAAUUGAGUAACAAGAAGGUGACAUAUUGGACUGCUUCUGCCCCCAGCCUGCUCCGGACUCCCUCGGAGGAAUGUUCCUUUAUGCUCCUUCCAAGAAAAGCAGCGUCUCUGAGGGGUCCCUGACUCUCCUCUCUUGCUGGGCCUGGGAAAGGGAGACUGUUUCCUACCAGGAAAGAGUGACCAGGGCAGGCAAGUAGAUCCUUAAGGGAAGCCCUUAAAGACUGGGGGACAGUGAAGAGGGAGGUAGGGGAGCAGUUAAAUCAGGAAUACCCACUGGCCUACAGAAGGCCCAGGUGUCUUCCUCCCAAGUCCCCGUCCCUGAGGAAGGACUUGCGGGCAGAGCUGGUGGGAAGGGCUGACAAUGGAGCCUCCAGCACAAGGCUGUCGGGUGCUGGGCAGGAGAAAGGCUCUGUGGACUCGGCAGGUGGGAGUUUCAGCUCAGGGUCAGACCCUGAAGUGUGCACCGACCCUGCCUGGGGCUUUCCCUGCAGGAGACUGUCCACUGAGCAAUCCACUCAGCAGGCCUCUGGGGUGUCCACGCCUAAGACAUGGAAGCCAGGAAGUCCAAUGCUGCAGCGAAGAGUUCAGAAAACUUUCACACAUUCGGGGGAUUCCUCUGGUUUCAAAAAUUAACACCCAUAUCUUUUGAGCCAUUUGUGAUUUUCAUUUCUCAAAUUCACUGUUAAAUUGUACCUUAUCCAACCAAAUGACAGCGACUGAAUGAGCAUCCACUGCACUCACUGGGAGCUGGGAGCUGGGGAUUCUGCGAUAAAGAGCCCGGGGCCACUCCGAGAAGUUGCUUGUCUUCCAGGUGCAGGGGCCGUGACGGGACACUCAGCACAGAAACGGAGGUGCCAAGCAUGCGUGGAAUGGUCUAGGGGCAGGGGGUGCAGACCUGGUGGAGGACCCAGGACCAGUGAGAUGCUAAGGUGAGUCUGCACACUGAACUGAAGGCUAAUGGUCAGAGAAGGAAGGGAAGGGCAUUUCAUGCAGAGGCAACAACCCCUGAAAACUAACUUAUCUCCUACAUUCCAUCAGAAAUUUAUCCUAUGACUUUGCCCAGUAAGCAUCUACUGAUGUCAAUUUUUGGCUUGACUCUGCUCUUAGAACUGAGUACUUAGCAACACUGUGAAGCCAGGGGUGAGAUGGGAAGACAAAGGAGGAAGUGGAUAGUCUUAACUCUCAAUACAGCAGCCAAAUCUCUAUCAAUGCCAAUAUCAGGGUUAAGUGAUAAAUGGAAUUUUGACCUCGCUUACCCAGGAGUCAGGCCAGUGGCACCAAGCCAGUCCUGAGUUAUUCCUCCAGUUCCUGAAUGACUAGUUGGAACCAACAACCCCAAAACUGGCAGAAUCAGCAAAUUAUUUCUCUCACCAUGGACCAGGGGCUCAGUAGAUGGUUACUGAUUACCCAUCAAUUUUAGAGAAGAGUAGAAAUAGAUCCACAUUGUUAAAAAAUGAUUAAAGAAGACAAUGUAGGUGACGCAAACUUUGCUCAGUAAUUUAUGAAGCAGGCAGUCUCCAUCCCACCAGUCCAGAGAACUGAAAAAUGAGGCAGAAGGCAGGAAGCUUUUAUAGGAUAAAGAAUAAGAAACAAAGAAGAGAAAAAUGGAAAAAGAAUAAGAAACAGGGAAGUACAGGGCCCAGAGUUGGUUUGUGGUUUGGGGAUUGGCUGGUGGAUAUGCCGCGUUUCUGGCCAAGCAGGGCAUUUACAGGACAUGAAAGCUCUCUCUGUUUGGGUUUGCUAAUGUGGCCCCCUGAUGUAGGCAGGAGGGGCUCCAUCCCGAGCCUAGACUUACCGUAUCAUUCACAAGCCCAUCUACUGAGUAAGAGGACACAGGCCUUAUAUUUCUAAUUGAAAAAUCCCAGAACUCCUCUCUCAGAGCCUUGGGCUCCGGGCACCAUGGAGUGUUUCCUGGCACAGAAACCACAGACGAGGACCCACAGUGCCUCGCUGGGCAGACUUACAGUUGGGAGCCCAGCCCCAAAGUCCCACCUCCCUUGAGCCCUGCAAACGCGGACACCUCCAACACCCGCACUCCCCAUCCUCCCUGCCCGCUACACCUGCCCCGAGGCAAGGAGGGAAGUCGCGGGCCUGUCACGGGACUCGGGUCAGGCUGUGGGCAGCGCGGGCAGUUUGAGAGCACGUGGGAGAUGCUGGAUGCCCCAGUUCCAGGAAUCCCGGCACCUCCUUCCCGUGGCCCCCGAC